AAGACUAUACUUUCAGGGAUCAUUUCUAUAGUAUAUUUUAAUCAUUUUUAUAGGUAGAAAUAUGUG
rnacentral:snoRNA from 1 species